GGGACAAAAAGCCUUUUUUAAUUGUCCAGUAUUUGCAUUUUGUGCUGCUGUGGUUUUGUUUGAAGUCAUGCAUAUUCUAGUAUGUAAGCUAGCCUUUAUUGGUUUUCUUGAUUUUCCUGUUCCUUUGUUAAUGCCUACUGCCUGCCAUAGUUCUUGAUCAAUUCAUUUUGAUCUGGUCAUGAAAGAUGAUGAUAACAUUAUGCCCGUUAUACACUAAAAAGUCUCAUAUACAGGACCAUUUGCAUAGGAGUUGAGAGGAGGUCGGUAAACUUAUCCAAUUAGUCGGACAAGCUGGUAUUUUGCAGAGCUAAAUUAACCAGGUUUGUGCUUGAAGAUGCAUGGUUCUCUGCAGCCUGCCCCUCGUGCUCAAAGUAAAUAAGGAAAAGCCACAGAGUCAACUACUAAUCUGCCCAGAUCAUGAAAUGCAGCAGCCACUUUACAGGUCCCAGUGAUAGCACUUGCAAUGGGUCAGAGGAGCUUGAUUUCACGGGAUACUUUGCACACAGUUUGCUGGUUAUCUGCCUUCUGGUACUAUGGCUAGACAGUUUAGAGUAGCAAAAUACUCCCAUGUUUGUCUAAAGGCGGUGGAACUAGUAGGAUACUAUGGCUACAAUCACGAAGUUGAACUUGUGAAGUAAUUAACAAAAACUGCUAGUAUUCUGGAGAAAUUCUGUUGAUCCUGUUUAUUGGUUGUAUAGACGACCCAACAGAUGAAGAGAGUCACGAGACAAGUAUGCAGUGACAAUGGAAGAAUUGUUCAAGAGCUCUGGCUCGGCAGCUUAAAGAAAAAUUGCCUCUGCAACUCUGGAAGUUGUGUGCCUGUAGCUACUAGCUAGCCUAGUAGGAAACUACAUUGCUAAAUUAUUUGUACAAAUAAUGACCUCUUGUUUCUAAUUAUGUUAUUCUGGAACUACAAGCUUGAUACGUAGUUGAAUGAUGAACGUUUGUAAUAAACUGCAGCACUUAAAUUAUUUGGAGAUGGUGUUUUACAUUG